UCCGGUGUGGUGUAGUGGUUAACAUCGGUGCUUUUCAGAAAAAAGAAAAUUACGUAAUCCGCGUAAUCUGACAUCGCACUAGCCCGGGGUUCGAUUCCCCGCUCCGGAA